UACGUAGGUGGCGAGCGUUAUCCGGAUUUACUGGGUGUAAAGGGCGUGUAGGCGGGAGAGCAAGUCAGAUGUGAAAACUACAGGCUUAACCUGUAGCCUGCAUUUGAAACUGUUCUUCUUGAGUGAUGGAGAGGCAGGCGGAAUUCCUAGUGUAGCGGUGAAAUGCGUAGAUAUUAGGAGGAACACCAGUGGCGAAGGCGAUUUGCUGGACUGUAACUGACACUGAGGCACGAAAGCGUGGGGAGCAAACAGG
rnacentral:rRNA from 1 species